UGACUGGUGAGCAAUGCACACGUGGAUUGCCAGGAGCAUUUAACUAGACAGAUGGAUUGCCAGGAGCAUUCAGCUUGACUUCUCAAGCGUCAUCAACUGGACAGCAUUCCAUUCCGCUGCUGUUGAUAUAACCUGGGUGUAUCCGCUAGGUUGCUCCAGUACUCGACACCUAGCCUGCGGCAUGGGAAAUCUUCAUCCUGGAACUCUUCAGGCAUCCUGCUCUAUAAUGUAGACAGGUUGGCUAUCAGGUCAUCGCAUAUGACCGUACUGGCAACUGACCAUUUGGUUGCCGAUCAGCGGGACUACGACGGGCGCACAGUUCAACCCCUGAGGAAUGUGCAUUCAGAUGUCGGAUCAUCGUGGAUUCUCCAUAAAGCACUAGUCCGCACUGGACGCUGCUACCCAUGACCAUCAUGGCUAGCCAGUCUGCUCACCAGCCACCAGGACAAGCACAGCGAACAAGUUCAGAAUUAUUUCACUGGGAAUUAUUCUGGAGCAAGGCUUCUUCCUCAAGAACUUGGCUGCUGUACACCUUGUUCG